rnacentral:rRNA from 1 species
CGGUGGAGUGAUUUGUCUGGUUAAUUCCGUUAACGAACGAGACCUCGACCUGCUAAAUAGUUCGGCAAGCCCUUGGGCUUGCGCGGUACUUCUUAGAGGGACUAUCGGUGGUUAGCCGAUGGAAGUUCGAGGCAAUAACA